rnacentral:rRNA from 1 species
GAUGAACGCUAGCUACAGGCUUAACACAUGCAAGUCGAGGGGAAACGAUAGAGAAGGCUUGCUUUUUCUAGGCGUCGACCGGCGCACGGGUGAGUAACGCGUAUCCAACCUGCCCAUCACUUGGGGAUAACCUUGCGAAAGUAAGACUAAUACCCAAUGACGCCUCUAGAAGACAUCUGAAAGAGAUUAAAGAUUUAUCGGUGAUGGAUGGGGAUGCGUCUGAUUAGCUUGUUGGCGGGGUAACGGCACACCAAGGCGACGAUCAGUAGGGGUUAUGAGAGGAAGGUCCCCCACAUUGGAACUGAGACACGGUCCAAACUCCUACGGGAGGCAGCAGUGAGGAAUAUUGGUCAAUGGGCGAGAGCCUGAACCAGCCAAGUAGCGUGCAGGAUGACGGCCCUAUGGGUUGUAAACUGCUUUUAUAAGGGAAUAAAGUGAGUCUCGUGAGACUUUUUGCAUGUACCUUAUGAAUAAGGACCGGCUAAUUCCGUGCCAGCCGCCGCAGUAA